AGUGGCAGACGGGUGAGUAACGCGUGGGAACAUACCCCUCGGUUCGGAAUAGCUCAGGGAAACUUGGAUUAAUACCGAAUACGGUCGAGAGGCGAAAGAUUUAUCGCCGAGGGAUUGGCCCGCGUCCGAUUAGCUAGUUGGUGAGGUAAUGGCUCACCAAGGCGACGAUCGGUAGCUGGUCUGAGAGGAUGAUCAGCCACAUUGGGACUGAGACACGGCCCAA
rnacentral:rRNA from 1 species